CCACUGACAUCUGCUCCUGACAGCCAGCCAUGGACAUCAUAAUGGCUGGAUGAUCAAGGGUUACUUGAAGCAGAUAGUCCUCUUUCUGACACAUUGUCAGUGGCAGUCUAAUGCUAUGUCACAAUGCCUACAUCAUUCACCCCACUUCAUCUCAUGACGGAGGCAUUUUACCAUCUCACAUCAUCACACAAAUGCUCUAACAGGAACUAUGCUCUGAACCCUCACCAUUGUGUUUGAUCUCUUCGGAACUAAAACCACAAGAGCUUAUAGAGAGAACAUCCCCUGUCCCCUUGAAAACCAGUGACUGAAGCCCAUCACUCAAGGACCUUUGCUGGGACUCUUCCGUGUGGGGAGCAUGGGGCUGGAGGAGGAAGAGCCAUCAAGGGAAUGUUUCCUGAUCAAUUGGUGUCAGUUAUUCUUCAAGAGCAAAAGGAGCAGCCUUUUCAAAUUGAGAAGAAAAAUAUAUGAAGGAAGAAUGUGUGUAAGCAUGCUGAGUUGCUUCAUUCAUGUCCAACUCUUCACAACCCCAUGGACUGUAGCCUGCCAGGCUCCUCUGUUCAUGGGAUUCUUCAGGCAAGAAUACUGAAGUGGGUUGCCAUGUCCUCCUCCAGGGUAUCCUUCCUACCC
rnacentral:lncRNA from 1 species